AACUAGUCUUGAUACGUAUUGAAAGCACGCUCAAAGCUAGUGUCAUCUCAUAGGCCACGUGGACAACUAUUAUCAUUUCUAAGCAGCCCAUAACAAUAAUUUGCUGAGACAGGCUUCAUAUGUCAAUUUCGUAUUGUCCAAACUCCAAAGUGAAGAUAAGGAACAACGGGCUAGUUUUUAAAGAUUGCAAAAGAUAAACCACGUGUCGUGCUUUUCCCUGGCCGUUCACAUCAGACACUGCGAAGCUACAAUAAUAGAAGAGACAGAUUAAUAAUCCCUUGAGAUGUGGUUUGUGAUCUGAUAAGUCUUUGAUCAGUUUGCAAAGGACCUUUUGGGGACUUAGCUCAUAAUUUAUUCCAUUGUUCUGCUUCUAUUCAAAUUUGGGCUGAUUUUUUCUCGAAUUAAUACUUUGCCCUCAAUCAGGUUUAGAGCUUUGGGUGAAGGAGAUUCUUUGAUCUUUAUCUUUGAAGAUUGUGAGCUUUUUGCAGUCAUAUCCUAUGAGAUCAGGAAUAAUUGCAAUGCAGAAAUUUUCAAUGGAAAUUGAAAGAUCCUCUGUCCAUGAUCAGCUUUGCAUCACACCAUCUUGCUAGAAGCCAACCACCAUUAUCCUAUGAGAUCAGGAAUAAUUGCAAUGCAGCAAUUUUCAAUGGAAAUUGAAAGAUCCUCGUCCAUGAUCAGCUUUGCAUCACACCAUCUUGCACGAAGCCAAUCACCAUUCCAGAUCUCAAUCCUAGCCGUACAAGUCGAACGUCGUUCGCCCCACCAUUUAUUCAAAUACAAAAUUAAUUUUCACGCAUCGGUUUCCACCUGCAACAAUCUGUUUGGCAUUGGCGUGGUUAUUCGUGAUCAUGAAGGCGUGCUUAUUGCUGUUUUGUCCCAAAAAUUUGAAGGGAUGGCAAACGCAUAAUUGGCAGAAUCUUGUGCUGCGUGGGAAGCUGUUAAUCUAGCAGAUGAUCCAAAGCAGCAAAGAAUUUGAUGAUCCCAAACUUUGUAUUGGAGGGAGGGAGAUGCAACCUCCGUUGGAGUGUUCAUCAGCCAGUGAUCGGUAAUUCGACUAAAAAAUAAUUCAAUUUUUUACGAUAUUUUUUUCCAGUAGGUCUAGCAUUUGAUUACCAUCCAAAGCUUUAUUUGGUAAUUUGAGUAUUGAUAAUUGAAUUUUGGUAGGCUAAUCGGUAUUGUAGUAAUAUCCAAAAUUAAAAAUUGGGUUUUUUGAUGUAUAUCAGUUAAGCAUUUUAAACAAAAUUGAGGUUAUUAAUAAAUUAAUUAAUGCAUUUUUAAGGUCGCACAUUCCUACAUCAGCAUUAGCAUACUGGUGGAUUAGGAACAUACAUGUAAUAUUUAAAAUAUAUCAUUAAAAUAUAAAAUUCGGUAAUUCAAUCAGUAUUCAAAAUUUUCAAAAUCAAAAUUAAAUAAUCAUUCCAAACUAUUUUACCAAACUUUAAAGAUUGGAUCAGUUUUACCGAAAUUCGUUUUGCUAAUAUCCAAUACAGAAUCUAAAUUUGAUCGGCCGGAAAAUUUUUCAGUUUUUUUGAAACAAUUUGCACCCCUAUGCCUCGGUCAUUUUUUUUAAGGAAGAUUAUGAUACUCUUUCCGAUAUAGGUCCCAAUGAUAGAGGAAGUACAUUUAGUUUUAUUAGAUCAAAACCUAUUAGAUAUCGAUUAAGUUCCUAGAGAAGCGAAAUAGAUCGUGCAUGGGCCAUUUCAUUAUGCAAAAAACGGCCAACAUAGUUGAGUCUCUAUAGAAUUACCCUGUAGACUUUGUCAAGCAAAUUGUACCGGACGGUUUUCAGCAAUUUUAUUAGUAAGAUUUCCAGCAAUUUUACUGGUAAUAUUAUCGUGUUCUGUUUUAUAAUAAUAAAAAGGGUGCAAUGAUAAAGAAGUACCUCCAACAAAUGACGAUCCAACAACUUAUGCAUACAGGUCUACUCCCCAAAACUCCGCAGGUUGAUUGGUCCGGUAGUUUCGAUCCAAAGAUUUUAUCAGCUCCAUGUCCUCUUUUGCAAGCUCAAAGUCGAAAACUUUCAAGUUUUGCCGCAAUCUCUCUAGUUUUGAAGUCUUUGGAAUGACAACCGUGUUUCGCUGAAUGCCCCAGCGAAGAACAAUCUGACCGACCGUCUUCUUGUAUUUUUCGGCUAUACCCUGGCACAACAUGGGCAAAGAUAAA
rnacentral:lncRNA from 1 species